rnacentral:rRNA from 1 species
UACGUAGGGUGCAAGCGUUGUCCGGAAUUAUUGGGCGUAAAGAGCUCGUAGGCGGUCUGUCGCGUCGGCUGUGAAAACUCGGGGCUCAACCCCGAGCCUGCAGUCGAUACGGGCAGACUAGAGUGCUGUAGGGGAGACUGGAAUUUAUGGUGUAGCAGUGAAAUGCGUAGAGAUCAUAAGGAAGACCAGUGGCGAAGGCGGGUCUCUGGACAGUUCCUGACACUGAGGCACGAAGGCCAGGGGAGCAAACGGG